CUGAUUUCUACCCACACUACUUCUAAUAAUGGGUUGUGUGAUUCAAUUGAUUUCUGAGUUUCCCCUCAGAUAAUGGGUUAUGUGAUUCAAUUUAUUUCUUUCAACUCUCCAUUGCCUCCACCAUUUUUAGACCGUCCAUCUUCAGUGCUGACAAUAUCAGCUCAACUCUUCUUGUCGGCCUUGUGUCGCCACGGUUGGAUCCUUUAACUCUAGCAUUACCACUUUGCACAUGAACACCAGCAACCAUUGGAGCAAAAAAGCGUUUCUGCCUUCCUCCCUCCCUCUCUCUCUCUCUCUCUCUCUCUCUGUGUGUUGAUUCUGCUAAACACAUCUAUGUGCAACUAUAUAUAUUUUUCUCUAUAUUUAUGUAUAUAGAACAGAGACCUCUACUUAACUGCCCAUAUAUACUUAUUCAAAUCGAAAGCCUAGACCCUACUUUGUGAUUUUGAAAAUAGGGUAAUCACUGGCCUGCUACCACACCACUGUUAGCCACCAUUGUUCUUGCCAGGGCUAUUGACGAUCAUGGUGGCUGAUGCAUGGGAUGUUUAGGGCCAAUGGUGGUUAUGGAUAUGUUAAAAAGCUCGAUUUUUUGUUAAAGGUCGGUCCAAAUAAUGAGGUCUUCGAUCCUAAAGCUACAUUACCAUUCAAAACAACUUUGAAGGUGACUGUUUAUAUGGGUGAAGGAUGGUAUUUUGAUUUCUGUCACACACACUUUGAUACAUAUUCCCCACCAGAUUUCUAUACAAGGGUAAAUUGAUAGAGUCAUCAAUAUUGUAAUUGUUGUCAAUGUCUUGGAUAAUAUUCAUUUUGAUUACAAUAGAGACCUGCUAUUUCUCUUAUUAAAAGUCAUAACUAUGAUAAUGUUUGCUAGUCCUAUUUCAGACAAAAAAGGUGUAUAAGGAACCAUGGCAUUAAAAAAUGCUCAAUUUUCCAUUUCUGUUAUUUGUCAUAGUUUCAGGGAAAAAGUGGAUAUAGUUUCUUCUUAAAAUAUUUUGUUCAGUUUCUAAAUUAAGAGAGAAGUUAAUGAUCCACAGAAUGGAAUUGUGAGCCAUAGAAUUCAAGCAGUUCCACUCCAUAGUCACAAGGGAGAGAAGUAUAAAUCUGUAAAGCUUCUUAUGCGAUUUGAAUUUUUUUGAUAUAAUUGUGAGCCUAUGGUUUUUGGUUUUGUUUGUUUAUGGUUUUUUUUUAAAUUUUUUUUUUUUAAAACUUGUGUGUAAAUACUUAAGCUUGUUGUGUGUAAAAUAUAUAGAAAUAAAAUGUCUGUCAUUCUGUCUGGUGCUCUAUUUCAACUAUUUUUGUUUAGAACUUGUUAUCGUAGUGUUGCGAGAUUUAAACUGUUGAAAGAGUUUGCUUCCAUUUUCACCAUCGAUGCAAAUAAGGUUAUGGAAAGCCUUAAAUGAUCAAACAAGGAUCUGGAAAGCAAUUUGAUGGCUUCAACAAGGCCUCUUCAAGAAGUAGCAACGUUCAAUUGAAAUAGGCAUUAGCACUGGACUGUUAAUGGGAAGAGCAACAAAUUGAGCGAGCUCUUGUAGUUUCCAUAUCGAAGCAGUAGAACUUCUUUUUAUCAAGCAGAUGAAGUUAUGAGCCAGCAAAAUAGAAAACAUAAGGUCAAUCAAAUUCUAGAAAUUUUCCUACAAAGGUAUGUAUAGAAUAGCCUGAUUUUUAUUAUUAUCAACAUAUGCACUUUGGUUCCCUACAUGUUGACAAGAUUAUUUUCCAAAUUGAUAAGAUUUCCUUGGGUUUUUAAUCGUAUUUUUGUGUUGUGUUACAUGUACUCUUCUUUGAUUGGAUUCUAACAAGUCAAAGACUCUUGAGUUAAGAUUCUUUCUGCAAAAAAGCAUUCUCAAGUUCUAAUAGACUUCAAAGGGUCUCUUUGAUUGAUAAAUCUUGUUUGUCUAUGGUAAUUUAUGUUCUAUUGGAACCUUAUAAUUGAAACAUGGCGAAUUGUGCAGGAGCCACUCAAGUCUUCAUUCUGCGAUUUAGACAGUAAGGUGAAUGAAGCAUAUUUAGAUCUGAUCACCUCAUCGAAGAAGACUUUGGAUUCUCUACUGGAAUUACAGGAGGCAUUACUUGAGAAGAAUCCAUCCAUUGCUCAAGCCACAGAUGGCAACUCUGGUCAACCUCCCAAGCGUCCAGAAUUUUCUAGGAGCUCAAAUGGAGAAGAUGGUGAAGAAUGGUCAUAGAUAUCUGAAAUGCACUCAAGGUCAGAAAUUUCUUGGAGAGAUGCAAAAUAUGAUCAAAGAAUUCAAGAACUUAGUUUUUCAA